rnacentral:lncRNA from 1 species
GGUCUCCACAAUGUUGAAACAUUUCAGUCUCCUUACCAUUAUGUCCAUGUUAUUAAUUCAUCUCUUUUCUUUUUAAUGUUUCUCUUUCUCUAUUUUUCCAGAUAUUUGAAUUGAGAAGAGAUAUUCCAAACCCAACAUAUGGAAAGUCACCAGAAGAAAAUGUUACUAUGGAGAGCUAGUUCAGUGCUUUGAGGAGCUAGUUCAGAGCUUUGGAGAGCUAGUGUUCAGUGCUAUAGGGAGUUAGUUCAGUGCUAUAGGGAGUUAGUUCAGUGGAUCUGACAUGGACAAAUCAUAAACAUUGAAUGAAUUGUAAAUUAAUAAAUAAAAAAACUGACUUGAAACACUGAUUGUUUGUACAUCAAGUACUUUACAGAUUAAUUAACACGUUUGUUGAGGUAACAAUAUGCAAAUAAUAAAAGCACUGACAAAUCAUAGAGAAGCAUUUUUAUAUGCAUCUUUUGAAGACUCAUUGUCCAUGGUUGUUCUUUGUGUGAUAACUUAGAACACUGAUAGAACUUUUCUGAAUAUUGUAGUAAAUGUAUUGACUGUAUGUUCAGUGUUUGCUGAAUAUGGUCAACUUUAAUCUGAUUUGAAUAUCUUGACCAUUUUAUUCACAAUAUUGUAAUGGGAUAAUAAUUCGUACCUGCACUUGGGUUUUGCCUCUUUAAAUAAGACAGUAAUUAAGUUUAUAUUAGCACAGUCCUUGAAAUAUGCUUAUUAUUUCAAAAAAUGUAUACUUUGAUGCAAUCUCAAAUUAUUUGGUAUUCAUAUUUGUUAGUAUUUUUGUCAAAAACUUUGCAUGUUUUAGCAAAUUAUGUUUGUUUUUGAAGUCUAGAACAUUUCAGUAUCUUGUUAUGACAGAAUUUGCAAAAAAGAUUAUUAGGUUCUUAGAAAAUGUUAAGAAUGAAACUUAUUAUGUGACACAC